UACGUAGGGGGCAAGCGUUGUCCGGAAUUAUUGGGCGUAAAGCGCGCGCAGGCGGUUGAUUAAGUCUGGUGUAUAACCCGUGGGCUCAACCCAUGGUGGCAUUGGAAACUGGUGAACUGGAGUGUAGGAGAGGGAAGUGGAAUUCCACGUGUAGCGGUGAAAUGCGUAGAGAUGUGGAGGAACACCAGUGGCGAAGGCGACUUUCUGGCCUAUAACUGACGCUGAGGCGCGAAAGCGUGGGGAGCAAACAGG
rnacentral:rRNA from 1 species